rnacentral:lncRNA from 1 species
ACACACAAAGGAUUGGAUGAAAAGAGAUGUGACAAAAUCUAAGUCACACAAUAAGUAUAUAAAUGUAGAAUAUGAAAAGUAUAGAAAUGACAAUAAUAAUAAUAAUAAUAAUAAUAAUAAUAAUAAUAAUAAUAAUAAUAAUAAUAUAAGUAGAAAUGAUGUGGCAUUAUAGAGUGAUUUAAUUAGAUUUAAAUGGAUNN